rfam:Salmo salar isolate Sally breed double haploid chromosome ssa18, whole genome shotgun sequence.
AUAUUAUUCUUAUGUAAGUCGCUCUGGAUAAGAGCGUCUGCUAAAUGACUUAAA